rnacentral:rRNA from 1 species
UCCAGACUCCUACGGGAGGCAGCAGUGGGGAAUAUUGCACAAUGGGGGGAACCCUGAUGCAGCGACGCCGCGUGGGUGAAGGAGCACCUCGGUGCGUAAAGCCCUAUCGGCAGGGAAGAAACAGACGGUACCUGACUAAGAAGCCCCGGCUAACUACGUGCCAGCAGCCGCGGUAAUACGUAGGGGGCAAGCGUUAUCCGGAUUUACUGGGUGUAAAGGGGGCGCAGACGGCGAUGCAAGCCAGGAGUGAAAGGCGGGGGCCCAACCCCGGGACUGCUCUGGAAACUGCGUGGCUGGAGUGCAGGAGGGGCAGGCGGAAUUCCUGGUGUAGCGGUGAAAUGCGUAGAUAUCAGGAGGAACACCGGUGGCGAAGGCGGCCUACUGGACUGUAACUGACGUUGAGGCCCGAAAGCGUGGGGAGCAAACAGGAUUAGAUACCCUAGUA